CAAUGGUUCUCUGUUCUUUAGGUAUAUGUGCAGCUAUUGCAGUGUCAAAACAUGAGUACUGGUCAUCUUAAGCACCUCUUCCUUUCGAAGUUGUUGUUUCUGCAGGGCAAAAGGCUAAAGAGGGAUGCUGGGAUAAAGACAUCAAGUCACCAGGUGAUCCAAAGUUUAUGGAUGCAUUUGAUAUUUCCCGGGUAGCAGUUUGCUUCUUGUGGAAUGCAUGCGUGUGAAGAUUGCAAUUAACU